rnacentral:misc_RNA from 1 species
GUGCAUAUUUAAUCCAUGGAAAGCUUUUCAAUAUUUUAUACAAUAUUCUCGCCUAUUACUUCAAUGUCUGUUUCGCCUAAUUGUUUUUACGGCUCUUUCAGACGAUUUCUCUUCCUGCCUAUCUUCUGUUUCCUCUGCAACCUUCUUGGCUAACUGUUGUAGCAGUUCUAAAAUUUCAGAGAAUUCAGGUCUCAAAGAUGGAUCUU